AAAAGAGAAAAGCGACAUAUAGUCGUUAGAUAAUGUUCAAAAAAACUUUAGAUAACAAGGUAACUAAUCUACAUAAAUUGUUUGCUAACUAGCUAAUGUUAGCAUCAGUCAGCUAACUUAAGAUGUGACUUUUAUCUUUUAACCAUCAGGAGUACAGGAAAGGAGAAAGUUGACAGAGGUUCCGACCGAGGCUUGUUCAACUGCUAUUGGAACGCAGAGCCGAAAGGGACGGGACUUAGGAAGGGUCAAGGACAACAGAGUGAAUAAAUGUCUCAUCAUCCUGUCCAGCUGCGGAUUUGACUUGAAACCAGAACAAACUUGAUGACCAGCUGCCAUUUUGAUAUUUGGUGAAAUAAAACCAACGGACUAGAAGAGCUCAGAGAUUCAGCAGCAGCAGCAGCAGGAGUUACUAAACCUGGUCCCAGCUCAAUAUUUCCAUGAUUACUCAACCAAUAAGAUAAGAUUUUAGAUUAAUGAAGCUCCUGUGUUACAGACUCGGGUCUGGGGUUAGAAAACACUGGAAAAAAAAGAUUGUGAUUCACUUGAUUCACUCUUGAAUAUCAAACUCUCUUACUGUUCUCUCUCACCUUCAGCUGAAGACAUUUAGAGCUAUUGAUCCAUUAGAUUCUGAGAUAUCUCCAGUGCCUGAUAUAUCUUAGUCCUCUGUGCCAUAGAGAGAGAUAGAGACUACAAACACCAUGAACACACUCACUGAAGUUUCCCACAUACACUGUCCUGCUGCCAGAAAAUGCAUCAAAUGUGUAUUAAUCCAUCGCUGAAAGUAGUCCCCAACGAAGGCACGGUUUCCUCCAGUUUUAGAAACAUUUGGUAAAAACUACAGUGACCACCUUUUUAGGAAAUAACUGAGCUGUUUUAAAAUAAAAUUAAAUAACGAUGUGAACUGUUUUCAAAGAUUUACGUCUUCGUUAAGAAUUAGAUUAGUUUAGAUUAGAUUUACUUUAUUAAUCCCCGAAGGGAAAUUGGGUCGUCAUAGCAGCCAGGUACAUUUAAAUACAAUAAAAUACAACAAUAGAAUAAAGUACUGAGGUAGAAAAGAUAAAAAGAAAAGAUAAAAAUAAAAAGAUAAUAGGAACCGGUGGGCUGGUGUGAGCCACAGCUGAGGGAAGUAAAAAAGUAUGUUCUAAAACUGACAUUUAUGUCAUUUUUAACAAUAAGUAAAAUAUAGCACCAACCUUGUUCUUCUUUAAAAAAAAAUUGGGUUUGGCCUUUUUGAUUGUAUGAAAGUUGAGAGAGACAGGACAUACAUGGAGAGAAAGUGUGAUGAUUUCAUCUGACAAAGGUAUUUGAAAGGUGACCUUUCCAUCCUUUUCAUUUGAAAAAAUAUAUUAUAUUAUACAUUUAUUUCAUUCUGGAACUUUCAGAAGUCUCAAAAAAGGUGAACUCUGCAUUUAUGAUUUAAUUUAAUGUUUCCCUGAGGUAACGAGUUGUGUGUCUGUGUGUUUGUGUGUGUGCGUGUGCGUGCGUGCGUGCGUGCGUUUGUUUGAGUGUGCGUGUGUCAUACUGUUCAGGAUCCAGUGGUUUAUUGACACUUUAUUGACACUUAAUUGACAUUUUCUCAUCUUGUUCUCAAACUAUAGUUCGUGUACAGCUGGUAGGACUGCCUCUAGUGGUACGCAGAGGAAUCUCUGAAAUAUUGUUAAAAAUGAAAUAAAUGUAUUUAAAAACAUAGAAACAAAUUACUACAAAUUAAAAAUGAAAAUACUUAAACUAUGAGAUCAAUUUAAUUACAUUUAAAAUAAAUUUUGUGUAAAUAUCAGCCUGUUAGGUAGUUAUGCUCAUUCAUGUAGCGCAUACAUCCAUGUUUAGUUUCAAGCUAAAAUGUGAACUGAAUAAGGUCGGCCGCACUACUGUAUUUAAAUAAUACAUAUAUAUUGGUGAUUGAAGAUAUUUCAGAUAUAAUCUAAUGUGGCUGGCGGUGUAAAGCGUUUGAGAAACUCUGUUCAAUCCUAUAAAUAAUAUAUUUU
rnacentral:lncRNA from 15 species